UCUUUCCUCAUAGCUCUUGUUUUCUUUUAUGUGUAUUAUUAACUUGCCUAGAUCUUCAUUUAUCCAAUAAUCUCUGUUUUCUUUUCCUUUUCAAAAUGUUAAAGCCCUUUUUUUUUUCAUCUCUUAACCCUUUUUUGGGGGGUUUGUUUAACUUUGAAGAUUGAAGAACCAUGAAAUAUAACAAGAGAAGAAAUUAAGAACCCUUUUUUCUCUUCUUUAUUUAUUUAUUUUGUUUUUUUUUUUUUUGGGUUUUCAAGGUAAGUUGAGUUGUCAACUUUACUCAACUUUGAUGUUUGAAAAAAAAAAUUGACCCACAAAUUUAAGAACCAUGAAAUCUAACAAGAAAGAAAAGUAUGUGGUACUAGUAGUUGGGAAGUGUGUUCUUUAUUUUUAAUAUUUCACAGACUUUUUUCUUGUUUUUGAAAGGUAAAGUCAUUUUUUUCUAUACAUAUUAACAUAUAAAAUCAUUUGUUUUUCAGAUUUUUGCUUAUUUUCAUGCCCUUUUCUUUUGUUUAGUAAAGCUAUACAUAUUUUCUGUAUUUAGGGUUUCGAUCCAUUUGUGAAAUGCCAAGUUGCCAUAUGCUAAAAACAAAUUCAACCCUUUGUUCUCUCUUUUCUUUUUUUCUUUUUUUUUUAAUUUCCUGGAAAUUUCACACUUAGUUUCAGAUUUAUCAGUCAUUUUUUGCUGAUGCAGCAUCUUCAAGAUUCACAUGCAAAGUAUAGUACGGCCAGGCCAUAGCUUUUGUUUGAAGCAUGAGAAUCUUGAUGAUGCUGCAUCGGCCAUUAAUGACUCCACAACUCAUCCAUAAUGGAAAAAUCUUUAUAGAUCUUUCAAUUUUCCACAGCUUUUUUGGCAACCAUAAAAGUACAUCACGAUGAUGAUGAUGACUUUUAAUUAUAUCAAAACACAUGAACUGUUUCAAUUUGAUGAAAUUAAGGUUAGAAGAAACUUAUAUAUGUAGUUUUACAGAUUAUAAGUAUUAUUCCCCCCCCCCCCUCUUCCGUACAACCCCAGUUUCUCUUUUUCUGUGUUUUAAUACUCGUGUUAGGGUUUUGAGAAUUUAGGGUUUCUUUUUAAUGCCCUUUAUCAGAAGCUUUUUUUUUUUUUUUGCGUUUUUGGUAUUAAUUUCUUGUAGUUCAUCCACAAACCUCAAAUGGGUUUCUUCUGAAAGGUACAAA